CGGCGGGAGCGCGGGGCUCAGGGCCAGGGCCCGCCUCCAGGGGGCGGUGUGCGCCCCCGGCGCUGGAGCAGCCGCGUUUCGGGGACCCGGGCAGGCGUGGGGGGCUGCGCUGAGCUCCAGGCCUCCUGCAGGUGCAAUAAGAAUCGUAUUACUAAUGUGGUGUCCUCUGGAAUGGUCACAUGAACACAGUUCCCUGCAGAUGUAAUUGGGAGAGAAGGCACAGUCCUGACACAGGGUAAGACUGUGGAGGUGUAUUGCUGUCCCUACCAGCUGUGCCUUAACUUCCUCGAAAGACAACAUCAGUGCUGGCGGGCCUCAAGAAGAGCCAUCCCAAGGUAUUGACUAGGCAUCAGCGUCUUCACCAGGGCAACACAGAACAUCCCUGCAGAGUUCCUGGUGGCUGCAGUGGCUGGUAGGGGAUGUAUGCCUGCUUUCCAUCAGAUUCCCAAAGCGGAGCCCCUGGAGGCUUUGGCCCAUGGCCCUGAAGCUCCCUUUCACAAGGAAGAAAGACUUUGCAAAGCCAACACCACUAUUGGAGAGAAAGUGGAGAAUGUGUAUUAGAAGUACUAGUCUUUGAAGGCAAAACAGCUGUAUAGAGUGAGCUUAAGUGCUGGAUCCCUGUGGUUAGGAAGGGACACUAAGCCUCCGGGAUGUGAGAGUCCCAUGGAAGGCAGUAGGCCCAGGAUAAAGCAGGUGUCAGCUCAGAAAGCCCACCAUCACCCAGAAAAGGGAAGAAAUACGCUACCACCAUCACUCUUUCUGCCAAUGACUUCUUUGCACACCUCCACCCUAUCUCCUGGCUCAGUCUCCCAUGUUCUCAUAGCUAGGGAGGUCUCCAUUGUAAUUUGUAUGGGGAGGUUAACCUAUAGGCCAUUCUGAUGAUCCCAGCUCCCUUUCACUACAACCCCCGUCUGCAUCCUUUGCUUUGCAGUAGGAUUUGAGAGAGGAAGGAUGAAGAUGUAGCCACAGGAUACAUUUAAACAGGCACAGAGUUUGAGGGGUGGGGGGGAACAAAAGCAAAACAAUAAAACCUUCACCAGUCAUUAAAGAAAUGAAAAUGAACCUUUUGAGAUUGUCAAUUUUUAUCUGCUAAGUCAAGAAAAGCUAAUUUAAUUCCUGGCAAUUUCACAAUAAAAAAAAUUGUGCUAGCUCUUGGUGGCAUUGUAAGUAGUUAAAGGCUUUUUGGGAAGUAAUUUGAAAUACAUCAAGUCUUGAAAAUGAUUAUACCAGUGGAUCCAAUCAUCUCGCUGGUGGAAAUUCAUCUGAAGGAAAUGAUUCAGUGGAAAAAACAACCCGUCUACACUUGUUGCACCUAAAUGUCCAGGAAUAAGGGAAUGACAGAAGAAAUCUCAGCACAUUCUCUGAAUGGAACAGAAACCGAGCGUUUGGAACUAGAAUUGCGCAGACUGAAUUGAAUAUGGAAGUGGCUUUAAAUGGCAUGUUAGGUGGAAACACUGGAUGUCUGGUUGAAAUUUGGUAAGACACACAUUCCCAUGGUCAGAAUCGGAAAAUUUCAACAAAUGAAAAUCAUGGGGUUCACAAAGAGGUGUUGUG
rnacentral:lncRNA from 1 species